rnacentral:rRNA from 1 species
UACGAAGGGGGCUAGCGUUGCUCGGAAUCACUGGGCGUAAAGGGUGCGUAGGCGGGUCUUUAAGUCAGGGGUGAAAUCCUGGAGCUCAACUCCAGAACUGUCUUUGAUACUGAGGAUCUUGAGUUCGGGAGAGGUGAGUGGAACUGCGAGUGUAGAGGUGAAAUUCGUAGAUAUUCGCAAGAACACCAGUGGCGAAGGCGGCUCACUGGCCCGAUACUGACGCUGAGGCACGAAAGCGUGGGGAGCGAACAGG